rnacentral:rRNA from 1 species
AAGAUUAAGCCAUGCAUGUCUAAGUAUAAGCAAUCUAUACAGUGAAACUGCGAAUGGCUCAUUAAAUCAGUUAUCGUUUAUUUGAUAAUACUUUACUACUUGGAUAACCGUGGUAAUUCUAGAGCUAAUACAUGCUAAAAAUCCUUUCCUCUGGUUAGGAUGUAUUUAUUAGAUAAAAACCAAUGUCUUCGGACUCUUUGGUGAUUCAUAAUAACUUUUCGAAUCGCAU